UACGUAGGGUGCGAGCGUUAAUCGGAAUUACUGGGCGUAAAGCGUGCGCAGGCGGUUCGUUAAGUUCGUCGUGAAAGCCCCGGGCUCAACCUGGGAAUGGCGAUGGAAACUGGCGGGCUGGAGUGUGGCAGAGGGGGGUGGAAUUCCGCGUGUAGCAGUGAAAUGCGUAGAGAUGCGGAGGAACACCGAUGGCGAAGGCAGCCCCCUGGGCCAACACUGACGCUCAGGCACGAGAGCGUGGGGAGCAAACAGG
rnacentral:rRNA from 1 species